rnacentral:rRNA from 1 species
UACGAAGGGGGCUAGCGUUGCUCGGAAUUACUGGGCGUAAAGCGCACGUAGGCGGGCGAUUAAGUCAGGGGUGAAAUCCCGGAGCUCAACUCCGGAACUGCCUUUGAUACUGGUCGUCUAGAGAUCGGAAGAGGUGAGUGGAAUUCCCAGUGUAGAGGUGAAAUUCGUAGAUAUUGGGAAGAACACCGGUGGCGAAGGCGGCUCACUGGUCCGAUACUGACGCUGAGGUGCGAAAGCGUGGGGAGCAAACAGG